rnacentral:ribozyme from 1 species
GUCUUGUAUGUGAAUACAGGGCAAAUCAUUCGUUUAAUGUAGCCAUAUCUUAGAUAUGAGAGUCCAAAGCCUCUAUAAAUAACAGAUGGAACG